rnacentral:tRNA from 3 species
GGCCCGCUAGGCGAAUUGGCAUAGCCGCCAGAUUUAGGUUCUGGUGUUUCCGAGUUCGAUUCUCGGGCGGGCCAC